rnacentral:rRNA from 1 species
AGUCGAGCGGACUUUAAAAGCUUGCUUUUAAAGUUAGCGGCGGACGGGUGAGUAACACGUGGGCAACCUGCCUGUAAGACUGGGAUAACUUCGGGAAACCGGAGCUAAUACCGGAUAAUUCUUUCCACCACAUGGAUGGAAAGCUGAAAGACGGCAUCUCGCUGUCACUUACAGAUGGGCCCGCGGCGCAUUAGCUAGUUGGUGAGGUAACGGCUCACCAAGGCAACGAUGCGUAGCCGACCUGAGAGGGUGAUCGGCCACACUGGGACUGAGACACGGCCCAGACUCCUACGGGAGGCAGCAGU